AACGUAGGAGACAAACGUUAUCCGGAGUUACUGGGCGUAAAGGGCGUGUAGGCGGUUUGUUAAGUCUGGCGUGAAAGCUCUCGGCUAAACCGGGAGAGGUCGUUGGAUACUGGCAAACUAGAGGAUGGUAGAGGCGUGUGGAAUUCCGGGUGUAGUGGUGAAAUGCGUAGAGAUCCGGAGGAACACCAGUGGCGAAGGCGACGCGCUGGGCCGUACCUGACGCUAAAGCGCGACAGCAUGGGGAGCGAACGGG
rnacentral:rRNA from 1 species